UUAAAUUCUCUAUGCUUUUAUUUGCGUAAAGCUGACCAAUUACUGAGUAAAAGCAAUUGCUCAUAAUUAUUCACGCGGAUUAGUAUUACCCUAGUAUCAGAUGUUGCACUACAAAUAAAAUAAUGAUCAUGAUAUAUUAACAUUAUUUACAUCAAACAUUACCCAUUGAAUUUUAAUGUUUAAAUUAUUUUAAUGUUUAAUGUUUAAAUAUUUUUUUUCCACCAAGCCAAAGCUGGUUUAAGAAACUUAAAACCUAGGUUAGUUGAAGAAACUUAAAACAUAAUUAUGGUAACUGAAGAAUGAUUGAUAUUGAUAAAAAAAAAAACUGAUAAAAGUGUUGGUUUGUUAGAAAAGGAAGUAUAUAAAAUUAUGUAUGCUCCAAACUUUCUGCAACUGUGAUAAUAAAACUCCAUUCCAUAGAGUUUGUUUGUGACGAUUAAUGUGCCACCACAUAAAUGUAGAAAAUAUUAAUAAAUCUAUGGCAGUAAACGUUAUGUUGACACAAAAAUGCCAAAUCUCAAGUUAAAUGGUUUAUCUAAAUCUGGAUGCAAACACUAAAGUAGACAAUAGCGUUUCAAAUUAAAGCAGAAAUUUAUAACGAAUCAUGUUGACGAUUGGACAUGAAUCGCAGAAAAGCACCAUUGUCGAACGGUUAUGAAUCAAAUCUUUGUAUUAUAAUUGCGUAAAUAUAUUUUAAAAUUUAAA